rnacentral:lncRNA from 1 species
GAAGGAAGAUAGUGCGCACGUGGGGGAUUUCAUCUGGAAUCCCAGCUUCUCAGUGUGAGUUUAGGGCCAGGAGGUGGAGCACAGACGGGGCCUGUGCCCUGGCCCCCAAGCUCUUUCUGGGGUCCUGGAGUGAGUUUCUGAGAGCCAUAUUGGGUGGUCCUGGGAGGCAGGCUGGCUUGCCUCGUGUUUGUGAGAGUUUUGAGGAGGGGCAUUUGGCCUGUUAGUGGGUGAUGGCAGCAGCCGUUCUGAGAAUAGAGUGUCCUGCAAAGACAAAAUCAGCAGCCCUAGAAUCUUCUAGAGAAGAAUCCCUGAGCACGCUGCCCUUCUGGUGAUUUUUACAGUGCAUCAUCGUCCUCCACACAGUGGCUGGCAAGCCGGACGUGCCCAAUGACUGCUGGUUAUUAUGACUACUGGGACUAUUAUCCGCUCAGCUGGGAAAGAACAUCUGUCCUCACCUCUCAUUUCCUCCCUCUCCAUCUCCCGGGAUGAUUCAGAUGUGAGUCCCCUGAGGUGUCAUCCUGGCCCUGAGGGAGGAGGAGGUGGGGCUGUGGAGCCAAGUGAACAGAGCAAGGAUGUCAGGCUUGCAGCCCAGGCCCAGGAUCAGCUGACCUUUCCACAGGAAGAGGAGAAACCACAGCCGCCCUCACUUUCCCUGGGCUCUCACUGAGUCAUGCUAAGUCAUGCUCCUUGGGUCUCACCCCAUGGAGAACAACGUUUCUGCAGAAGCCAGAGAACGUGUGCCUAGGGUCCCAGGCUCUGUGCUCAGACCAGGAUGCUCUGAUGGGGCUGCCUGUGUGGUGGGGGUGGGGAGAGAGGGUUCUGGCUCCCUGGGGGCCUCUGAUCUCCUCUGGCAGCUACAGAAGAGGCUGAGCACUUGCUUCAAAGAGGAAAGUCCUCUUCUGGGGUCAGAAGGGGAGGAGAAUAAGUGGUCUCUGGUUGGUUCUUUAGCAUAAUUGCUAUUCUUUUCUCUAAAAUUAGCCCAUGUCUUAUUACUACAGAGAAAUGACCUUAACGCAUAUUCAUUGAUUCUAUAAAUCUUGGAGGGCCCACCAUAUGCCAGGCACAGUGCUAGGGAAUACCGUCAAAGAAGAUUUCAUGAAAUC